rnacentral:rRNA from 1 species
CCUACGGGAGGCAGCAGUGAGGAAUUUUGCGCAAUGGGGGAAACCCUGACGCAGCAACGCCGCGUGAGUGAUGAAGGCCUUCGGGUCGUAAAGCUCUGUCAGGCGGGAAGAAACGCCUGGGGGUGAACAGCCCCUUGGCCUGACGGUACCGCCAGAGGAAGCACCGGCCAACUCCGUGCCAGCAGCCGCGGUAAUACGGAGGGUGCAAGCGUUGUUCGGAAUCAUUGUGCGUAAAGGGCGUGUAGGCGGUCCGGUAAGUCGGGUGUGAAAGCCCUGGGCUCAACCCAGGAAGUGCAUCCGAAACUGCUGGACUUGAGUACGGGAGAGGGAAGUGGAAUUCCUGGUGUAGGGGUGAAAUCCGUAGAUAUCAGGAGGAACACCGGUGGCGAAGGCGACUUCCUGGACCGAUACUGACGCUGAGGCGCGAAAGCGUGGGGAGCGAACGGGAUUAGAUACCCCCGUAGG